GAUGAAGAACGCAGCGAAAUGCGAUACGUAAUGUGAAUUGCAGAAUUCAGUGAAUCAUCGAAUCUUUGAACGCAUAUUGCGCUCUCUGGUAUUCCGGAGAGCAUGCUUGUUUGAGUAUCAGUAAACACCUCAACUUCCAUAUCUUUUUUGAAAUGGGAGUUGGACUUGAGUGAUCCCAACGCUUUUCCUCACCGAAAAGUGGCGGGUUACUUGAAAUGCAGGUGCAGCUGGACUUUUCUCUGAGCUAUAAGCAUAUCUAUUUAGUCUGCCUAAAAAACAGAAUAUUACCUUUGCUGCAGCUUACAUAAAGGAGAUUAGUUCUUGUGCUGACUGAUGCAGGAUUCACAAAGACAGGCUUCGGCCGACUUUGUAAACUCGAUCUCAAAUCAAGUAAGACUACCCGCUGAACUUAAGCAUAUCAAUAAGCGGAGGA
rnacentral:misc_RNA from 1 species